rnacentral:rRNA from 1 species
UACGAAGGGGGCUAGCGUUGUUCGGAUUUACUGGGCGUAAAGCGCACGUAGGCGGAUCGUUAAGUCGGGGGUGAAAUCCUGGAGCUCAACUCCAGAACUGCCUUCGAUACUGGCGAUCUUGAGUCCGGAAGAGGUGAGUGGAACUCCUAGUGUAGAGGUGGAAUUCGUAGAUAUUAGGAAGAACACCAGUGGCGAAGGCGGCUCACUGGCCCGGAACUGACGCUGAUGUACGAAAGCGUGGGGAGCAAACAGG